GGGGAUGCACUGGUUUCGACGGGAUCGUUGAACUUAGGGAAGCGGGCAGAGGGCCCCGUUGGCCUCUAUAAAAAACGGGACAAUUAUAAAUGCCAAUAAACCGGCUUUAGCAGCUGCAUAACCAUGCCUGCCGUGGAACUAGCUAUAUCUGCGUACUAGACCUCCACGUUAAGGAGCAGACCUUACCCCUUAGAGGUCAAAGGGGCAAACGAGUGGCCUAAGCUUUGCCGCCACUUUGUACUUAUGAAGCUACCGGCGAUCGGCCGCCCUGCCAUUAGGGUUCUGAUCAAGGGGAAUACUCUAAAAUAAUGGCUGCGCCCGGAGAAGACUAAGCGAUUUGGUUUCGGACAGGGGUUCGAUUCCCCUCAUCUCCACCA
rnacentral:tmRNA from 1 species